UUUUUAUUAUUUUUUAAGUUUUUGUUUAAGUUCCAGUUACUUAGCACAGAGUGUAAUAUUAGUUUCAGACAGAGUAUAGUGACUUAAUAUAACACUUCCACAACAGGUGCACACUUUAAACCCCAUCACCCUUCAUCCAUCCCCCAUUCAUCUCCCCUCUGGUAACCAUCAGUUUGUUUUUUGUAGUUAAGAGGCUGUUUCUUGGUUUGCCUCUCUCUCUCUCUUUUGCCUUUAUUCAUUUGUUUUGUUUCUUACAUUCCACAUUAUUAUUUUAAACUAGACCCCAAAAGAGUUAUCUAAGACAGUUUAAAAUACAUAUAUUGAAAAGAUACAGGAAAUGUCUUUUCAGCUUUCAAUUAAUUAUUUAUUCUUAUACCAACUUUGGUAUCUGGUUAGAAAACCAUGAAAUUUUAGCUAGUUAUUAAUUUGUGGAAUUGAGAUAGAAUUUUAUAUGAUAACUACAACCAAGAAUUAAGUUUAUAAUUGAUUUUAGUUAUAGAUGGGACAUUUUACUUAGUCCUAUUUGUGAUUUGAUUCAAUGGUGAAAUUCAGACAUAAUGUAUGGUACAUCAUCUUCCAUCAUAAAGUUUUCCUUUUCAUUAUCUUAAAAUUAGCUGUAAAAUAAUUCAAAAAAGGAACAAAAACAACAAUCUGGAGACGUUCUUAUACUGAAAGAUGCCCUGAACCACUGCUGGGUAAGAUUUAGAAUGCUGCUUUGAAUAUGAGAAGGUUCAUUUAUCCAGAACUUUUUCUUGCUUGAAGCCUUCUUCUGCUCUACCCAAAUAGAACUGUCUUCUCUUUCUCAUACCUCCACCUGAUCUUUUGCAUGUGGUGGAGGAGAGAGGAAACACUGUUAUUUACACAAAUAUCUUUCACUUUUCACAAGGUGCAAUUUUAUUUCCUAGAAAAUUGAGCAAUGCCUCAAAUCAUUUUUUAAUUGACUUCUGUUGCCACUUCUUUCUAGGUUUCAGUUAGUGUGUAAAGAGAGUAAGAAAAAAAAUUCAACUCAAUAGAGUUAAAUUGGGGCUAGGUAGUAAUUUAAGAUUAAGAACUAUUUUAUAAACAUGAGAAUAUUCCAAAUAUGGAGUGAUAGGCAUUCUAAAAACAUUGUUGGUGGAAGUGCUAACUAGAACCAUCACUGUAGAGAGGAAUUUGGCACUAAAACCAAAAUUUUAAAUGCACAUUCUCAAUGACCUUCUCAAUUUUACUUCUAGAUCUACGUAUACUUAUGUAAAAAUCCCUAUAUAAGGAUUUUUUAUUUCACAUUUUCCUUGCAUAUAAAAAUUAAUUGAAAAAAAUUAAGGAAAAAAUUAUUUAUAUAAAUUGCUUUAUCAUUAAAUAGUCUAGUGUUCAAAAAAAUUUUUAAAGAUUUUAUUUAUUUAUUCAUGAGAGACACAGAGACAGAGAGAGACAGAGGCAGAGAUAGAGGCAGAGGGAGAAGCAGGCUCCAUGCAUGGAGCUUUAUGUGGGACUCAAUCCCGGGACUCCAGGAUCAUGCCAUGGACUGAAGGCAGGUGCUAAAUCACUGAGCCACCGAGGGAUCCCCUCUAGUAUUCAAAAUGUAUAUACAUUUUUGAAUUAUUAUGUAGACACCCAAAAUUAUUUUAAGAAAAAAAGAUACAUUUUAUUUUUUUAAGAUUUUGCUUAUUUAUUCCUAAGAGACAUAAGGAGAGGCAGAGACAUGGCAGAGAGAAGCAGGCCCCAUGCAGGAAGCCUGAUGCGGGUUCAAUCCUGGAUGAGCCUAAGGCAGAUGAUCAAACUGCUGAGCCACCCAGGCAUCCCAAAAGGUAAAUUUUCUACAAGGAUUCAUGUAUAAAAGCCUGUUGAUGAUGGCUACUUGUGAAGGGUAAAACUAGAAGAAAUUUUAGGGCAGAUAGUCAGCUUUCAUUAAGCUAUUUUUAUACUGCUCAUUGUCAAGUCAGUGUCAGGAUAAAAAAACAGAUGAUGACAACAGUAUUCAUUUGAUCAAAACUCUGACUUGUGCUAGCUGUUUUGUCAUGCAGUUAUCAGGCUGACAAAACUCCAACAGAGCAGAUCAUUCAUAAUCUCACAAAAAGUAUCUCAGGAUUACCUUAAAAGUAAUUCUUACCAUUUCAUUCUUUACCAAUCAAGGGUUGGGAAGAAAAUUACAAUUAUCAUUUGUUAUUAAAGUUAUUCCUCUACAAAAAAAAAAAAUAUUCUUUAAAUUACUCCUUAAAACAAUGUAUUAUUUUUUAGGAGAAACCUAGGAGAAAAAAAAACUAGACAACCAUAUACAUUUGUUAUUUGAGUUUUUUUUUCUUCAUGAGAAAACUUAAAUUAUCCUAAUGUGUUUGAAAUAAAAGACCUAAAGAAACUAAUAAUAAAGUAAUUUCUUUAUAUAAAAAAAGAAAUUGAACUCCACCAUCUGCCUAAACAUUAAAGACAAACACUUAACCAAAUAGAGAUUAGAUUUACAAAAGGUAGUUAAUCUGAAAAUAAAUCAAGAUAGUUUUUUGUUUAUUUAUUUAUUUUAGAUUUUAUUUACUUAUUUGAGAGACAGAGAGCAAGAGCAUGGGUGAGAGGGAAAGGGAGAGAGAAUCUGAAGUAGACACUGCACUGAGUACUCUGCAAUUCCAUCCCACAACAGAGAUCAUGACCUGAGGUGAAACCAAGAGUCAGACACAUAAUUGACUGAGCCACCCAGGUGCCUCAAAAUAGUUUUCUUAACUUUAAAAUAUCUAUUGAAGUUCUCAUAUGUAGGAGAUAUUUCAUGCAGGAUAUCUAAAGAAGAGAAGUAAUGAGAAUGAAAACACUACCAUUUCUCUCUCCUAAAUUAAUAUUUAUCAAGGCAACUAUAUAUUUUUGAAUAAAUGGCAUUUCAAUAUUCAAUCUGGCAAAAUCAACCAUGCAUUUAUAUCUAAAGCCUAUUAUCUUCUAAGACAAACACAUGCAGAAAAGAUAAAAAGACAUCUUUGUUUCAGAUGAAAUAGCAACCCUGUUCAUUUAUUUAAGUAUCUCAUUUAUUUAAGUAAACACUUCCUUAUAGAACAGUGUAAAAUCCCUUUCUGUCAGCUCCCUCUCCUGUCAGCUUUGUGGCUUUCUCAACCUUCCUUUUUUCCUCAACAACCAGUAUAGUCUUAUCACAUUUGUUUUGAAAAAGACUAUUUUUUAUGAG
rnacentral:lncRNA from 1 species